GCGCGAGUCUCUCGACUGGAAGGUGGGGAAUGAGCGACAAAUCGAGAGGCACACCGUGGGGACCAACGUGGACUCUCGACGGUGCUCACCGGGCCCGGAUCGGCGCGAUCGGGAUCGUAACGUGGCUGUGCACGCGCAGGAGAAGGCCGUCCUCCGAGAGAGGAGCCGAGCGAGCGGUUACGGCUUCGACACACUCUCCGUGUUUCACGCUGUCCCCAUAAGUUUGCACGUCGAUGUUUCACUUGCCAAAAAGCACGAAUAAACAUAAUUCCAAUCCAGACACUAUAUUGCGAAUGCGAUUGCGAUAAUACACGGCGCGUCUCUGUUCUCCGAGAGGAAGUGAUUGCGAGGUCGCCAGAAUUGCAAGCUUCUCAGCCGGAAAAGUGUAUACACGUCGAGUGAUUGACUCCGUCGAGAAGUACAGAGAUAUCGAGUCAGCGGCAUUCGAUAGCAAAUAAUAAAGUCAAUUGAUUCACGUUUUCUCGACAAUGUCUCGCCACUUGAUGUCGAGGACCACUCUAUGUAUGAGUCGAGUAUGUACAAUGACGAGGGUGUCGAGUACCAACUAGAAAGGGAAAGACAACGGAUAGAAGAAAGAAGGAAAAAAAGCGCGAAGGAGUGCGUUGAUUCCAUGACCGGCGGAAUAUCACCGAUGAAUUCUUAUAUUCGCGGCGCGGUGAGGAAACCCACUAACUACUCGAGCCGAUCGCGCGAGGACGAGGACGAGGCGAAGCGCGCCGUCACGAUCGAGAGAAAGACAAAGCACCUCGCGGAAAGUGGGAAUGUAGACGGAGCGGAGCGAAGAGAAGGAGAUGCAGCCAGCGGCUCCUUGGCGUGAGUCCGGCUAAAAGUGAAAUCGACUAUGCACCGCCUUGUAUCAUAGCCGUUAUUAUAUGUUAUCCAAGCCGAAGGGGACGGCGAGGAAGUCCGAGGCCGGCGUUACCAGGAGUUGCGCCUAGUGGAAACGUAACUCGCGCCAGGCUCACGUAUCCUGGGGCGGCAUAGUGGCCGUAAUUAUCGCGACAUUGGUGAAAAUAGCAGUAAUCGCACACCGCGAGAGUCGCCCGAUUGUGAAUCUGUCGAGUGUAAUCUGCAUAUAUGGGGAAAUCCGCGUUACCUCCAAUUCCCCCCUUCUCUUUCGUCUUUCGUCGGACAUUCGGCUCUUAGGAACGCGUACAAACCAUCCGCGCGCUACAGCCAUCCACGUUAAUUACGAAAGUGAAAGUACACAGCUCGCUCGCGAUGCUGGAUAUGAAGUAAAAAGAAAUCCGCGGGCUUCCUCUUCUUCUUCUUCAUCCUCUUUCCGGUUGCUUUUACGUAACCGAUUAAUCUCGUUAUUAUUUUAUAUCUCGAGUAUAAUAACGUAUAAUAACGUGCAAAUCUCUCCUUUUUCCAGUCACGCGCAUUUUUGAGGGGAGACAAUCGAUUGAAUAUAUUCAACGAAGACGUUUAGUUUUUCAGAUGUUGCGAGUUUUGCGAUUACAUUCUUAUCGUCGUUAUCACGAUAUAUAACAGCCUUUAUGAUUUAUGAUUGCGAAACGUUAUACCAUUGAUUUCUUACUGCUAUCGAACCGUCAGCCGCCAGCGAAUUUCGAUAACAAAACCCGGAAGUCGUUCCUACGAGUCCCCGCAGAACCAAAUUUCUAAUGCGAUCUCGCAAUAUCGAUCGAACCGCGCGAGUCACGGAAUUUCGUAAAAAGAUUUCACUGUGCACAGCCGGGGAAGCAGCCGCGAGGAACGUAAUUCUCUCGAAUCGUGCCAGAGUCGUUUUUACAGGCUCGUAUUAUAAUCUGUAAAAAAUAUGCCAAUUAAACGAAGCAAUAAGUACCUAAUCCACAAACAUGGAAACUUUCCGUCAUCGAGAACGGCGAAAAAUCAUAAAAAAUACAUAGUUUAACAAAAGCAUAAACAUAUUCGUCCGAAUGAAUUUCGUUCACGAAUGCGCGUAGGCGAUAAAGAUUUAUUUCAUCGCUGACGAAUAAAUUAACUUUCGUGCGAAAGUGUAUUCGUUGUUUGUCGUUUGGUGAGUUUUUGAGCUAUACACUCGUUUUCGUUAAUUUGUUUUUCGACAUACAGUCUGCCCGACUCGGACGAAAAUAUUGUGACGGCCCCGCGUGUAAACAAUAAUUUUAUAUAUAGGGAGAUUAGUAAUUGUUGUGUAACCAUCCGGUUAGGCAGCGCAUUACUAAUAAAGCUGCAGUCUCUACCUUUCACAAUACAUAACGGGGACCAUGACUGUCUGCUCGCCUGCCUGCCUGCCUGCCUGCCUGCUCGCUUGCGCCGCGUGUGCACCGUCCAAAACCUUGGCCGGUUGAAAUCUCCGGCUGCGAUUUCGCGACGUAGCGUAAAUAAUGUAUACGUACAUAAACAAUGCGCAAUUCACAAUUUCUUUAACCUUACGAUGCUCUGCACGAGACCCGAUAACGAGAGUUAAAAAAAAAGGAGUGAUCCAUUCGUUUGUCAUUUUUCGAAUAAGUAAUUCUGUGUUAUCUGAAACGAGAUUUCCCCUCAAUUAUCACACUUCAGUUUUUCACCGCGUGACAUAUUAAGGAGGUUGUAAGGCUCAGUAUUGUAUUUUUACCAUGACGCAUUAAGAGGACUACUCAUAAGCUUACUAUUUGUCGAACAAAAUUACGUUUCUAUUCAUUAAUUUUAUUAUCCAAGUAAUAAAUAUUAAUUUUAGAUGCAGUUGAGAUGGAUAUCACAAGUAAAAAUAUUAUUUUAUUUUUCUUACCAAUACUUCAUUUGUACAUCAGUUGACCUGAUAGAAAUGUAUAGAUAAUAGUAUAUAAAUGUAUAAAUGUUUAAAUACGUCCACGGUAAACAAUUUUAUAUCAGUGUUGAAAUCAACCCGUAUAAAAAUUCUUGUCCAAUUUUUAAUGUCCAAUUUUUAACUUACCUAUAUAUUAAUUUAAUAUAUUAUUGUUGCGUUAUUUUGGUUAUUCUGUAUUGAUAUUCAUCAUUUUCAAGUCUUAAAAUAACGGAGUAGUAUGCAAGUUAUAUUUUCGUGUUAAUUUUCAACAUAUUUAUUAUUUAUUUACAUUUUUAUCUUGCAUUAAAUUAACACAAAAAUUAGGAUGGAUGAACUGAGGCAUAUGAAAUAUAUUAAAUUUAAUAUAAAAAUGUUUACAGUGUGUAUAUGUAUAUCUAUUUCGAGUAUUACCAUAAAUUACGAACUUUCUACCGCCAUAUUUUUCAAACAAAACAAUUAAUAAUUCUGAAAUUUAUGUAUAAUGUCGAUAUAUUAAUUUCUAAUAUCUCUCAUAGUUUCUCUCAUAUUAAAACCCUAAUUUUAAAAUAUUUACAAAAAAUUAAAAAUUAAAAUUAAAAAUAGCACGCUUCAAGGAACACGUAUAAAAAAUUGUCAACUUUAUUUUUAUAUAUCUCAAUUCUCGGAUAGUCAUGUUUUUUUUUAAAUUAUAUGAGUAGUCAGAUCAUAUUUAAAUUUAUAUGUAUCUCUACAUAGCACGAAACACGCGGACGCGCGUCUUGAUAUUAUCUUGGAUGUACUCCGAAUGUUCUAGAGCAUUUCUCAGAACAUUGUGAACACAUUCAAAAUGAUUCUGAGACGUUUUGUGCUAUCUGACGUAGUGAAAGUGAACUCAUCUUGUCUUACAAUCUCUUUAAUCGACGUCACGAGACAUCACCUGAUUGUUCCUAGUUGCACGAAGUCGCAUCUUGAAUCAAAUGUCGAGUCGAACAUUUGCAUUAAUAUCCGUCUCCUCACUGCCUUUCUUAUUAUUUCCUCCUUUUUUCAUUUUGCGUAUACAGCAUCCACUGUGUCUCAUAUAAUUUCCAUGUCUCCGACACCGCGCUAGAAAUUACGAUAACGACGUUUGGGUCGAAUGUGUUCGUUUACUCAGCUGUGUCGCGUAAGCAAGACACGUACUACACACGACGUCAUGUAUGCCUGAACUUAGAUCAGAAGUUACAGGAUUUUCGGCUUUAUGUCCCGAAAUAAGAUAAGUAAUAAGAUAAGAAAAAAAUAAGAAAAAAUAAUAAGAUAAGAAAUAAUAAGAUUAAAAUCGUAAUUAUUUAAAAUUAAAAUAAUAAGAUUAAAAUCGAUAAUUAACGUUACUAUAAUCCUAUUAUUACAAUUAGAAUUACUUAUACGCUUUUCAAUUUCAAGUAUUAUAUGUAAGGUUGAAAAUUGUAUAACCCUCGAUUUAAUAAAUGUUUAUCUAUAACGUCGUGUGUAUGUGCUGACUACUCGUCAAUGUGUUAAUUACAUUACAUUUGAGACUUCUUCUUUUUCAUGUUAUCAUUGCAAAUUUUUGGAGUUAUUUACACAUCCAUCGAUCAUUUAGUCUUAUUCGUUCGCGAGCGAUUAAAAGCUUAAUAAUCAGAUUUCAUCCCUUUGAUUAGAUAUUUUUUAUCAAAAUUAAUCUUCUCUCUCCUUCUUUUAAUCAGUGUCGCGCGAUAUCUUUUCAAUUCUUGAUUACAGAAGAAAACGUGUACAUUAUGUUAACUACAUUAAUGAAUAUUUUUAUUAUAGAAAUUAAUUCAUAGAAUAAAAACAAAAAGGUAAAUUUAUGGAGUGAAACUUUAAAAGAUUUUGAGAUGUUGAUACGAAUAUAAAAAUUUUUGAGUGCGAAAUUGUAUAAACACUAGCAUUUUUUUCCGAGAUAAUUCAUCAUUUGAGCUGCUGUGUUGCGAUUCAUUGUACGCGAAACCACGUACAAUUAUUUAAUUUCAUGUAAAAGUAGAAAUAGGCAUUCUUUCUCUCUUACACUCGACAUAUAAGUAUCGUCAUAUUGUUACACGUAAAAUUAUAGUAUAUAUACCAUGUUAUUACCAGUUGAAUAACGGGCUAAUGAUGGGUUUUUCACAAUGUUGAUGAUAUUAUACAUUCACAUUUCCCCUCAGGCUUUAUUCCACCGCACGUGGGUUUAUAUCGUGAAAUGGAAAUCACGUUUUGUUACACGCGGCACGAUAAACUGACUUCGGUAAGGAUUAUGAAAAGGUCAUACUCUACCAUUACUCUACCAUACUUUUACUCUAACCACGCCGCUGCAAAUCCGUUAUCCACGAUUUACCCGCUUUAUCUACCUCGCAAGUAAACCUGUGUACCUGCUAUAAUUCUUUCAAAGUUAGCUGCUGGAAUUCUUACAUGUGCAGAUUCAAAGAAAUUUCUGGGACUUAGUCCCUACCAAAAUUAAAUCAGCAAUCCUAAGCGUUAGUCGCGUUAAAAAUUGUUAUAUUAUACGGAGACAUAUAUAUCAAAUAAUAUUUGCAACUUAGUAUCACGACAAAAAAGUUAAAAAAUAUAUAUGAGGGUUCUAUGACUAAAAAAUAUCUUCUGUGUCUCUUAUACAUGUACUAAACGUGACUUUAACAAAGACUCGCCAGAAUGAUUGUUAAAGUGCCAGAAUAGAUUGUUAAAAUGAUGGUGUAAGUGUAAUAUCCAAAAAUAUCCAUAUUGAUCUUAUAUAUUUCAUUACAUUUAUUAACCGAUUAAUCAUAAUUAAAUGAUAAUAUUAAUAAUAUAUAA